rnacentral:rRNA from 1 species
GAUGAACGCUGGCGGCGUGCCUAAUACAUGCAAGUCGAGCGAACAGAUAAGGAGCUUGCUCCUUUGACGUUAGCGGCGGACGGGUGAGUUACACGUGGAUAACCUACCUAUAAGACUGGGAUAACUUCGGGAAACCGGAGCUAAUACCGGAUAACAUAUUGAACCGCAUGGUUCAAUAGUGAAAGGCGGCUUUGCUGUCACUUAUAGAUGGAUCCGCGCCGUAUUAGCUAGUUGGUAAGGUAACGGCUUACCAAGGCAACGAUACGUAGCCGACCUGAGAGGGUGAUCGGCCACACUGGAACUGAGACACGGUCCAGACUCCUACGGGAGGCAGCAGUAGGGAAUCUUCCGCAAUGGGCGAAAGCCUGACGGAGCAACGCCGCGUGAGUGAUGAAGGUCUUCGGAUCGUAAAACUCUGUUAUCAGGGAAGAACAAAUGUGUAAGUAACUGUGCACAUCUUGACGGUACCUGAUCAGAAAGCCACGGCUAACUACGUG